GCCUCAAUUUUAUUAUUUGAGGUAUCGCCUGCUCAAUGCGAAAGUAAAUAGCCGCAGUAUUCUGACUGUGCAAAGGUAGCAUAAUAAAUUGGUCCUUAAUUGGGAUCUGGAAUGAACGGCUGGACAAGGAUUUGACUGUCUCAAAUCGAAAUUUUUUGAAAUUGAAUUGUUUGUAAAAAUGCAAACAUAAAAGAGAGGGACGAGAAGACCCUAUAGAUCUUUAAUGAAUUAUUGAUUUAAAUUGAUUGGAAUUAAUAAUUCUUUUUAUUUGGGGAAAAUCCUGAAAUGUAAUAAAGAUAGAAAACUUCGGUUAAAAAAAAAAUUGGAAUUAUUGAUUUUUGAUCCACAGGAAUGUGAAAAAAUGAAAAAGUUACCUUAGGGAUAACAGGACAAUGAUUUCCUAAGAGGCCUUAUUUUAGGAAACGUUUGUUACCUCGAUGUUGAAUUAAGUUAUCUAAUUAAAGGAGAAAUUCUUAUAGUUGGUCUGUUCGACCAUUAAAAAC
rnacentral:rRNA from 1 species